UCAGAAAUUUUUCUUGACAAAGACAGUGCAAGAAAGGACAUGGAAUCCGGAGUUAAAAACUGUUUGUUUUAGAAUA
rnacentral:tRNA from 1 species